AACGAACGCUGGCGGCAGGCCUAACACAUGCAAGUCGAACGCCGUAGCAAUACGGAGUGGCAGACGGGUGAGUAACACGUGGGAACCUUCCCUAUGGUACGGAAUAGCCCAGGGAAACUUGGAGUAAUACCGUAUAAGCCCGAAUGGGGAAAGAUUUAUCGCCAUUGGAUGGGCCCGCGUAGGAUUAGCUAGUUGGUGAGGCGAUGGCUCACCAAGGCGACGAUCCUUAGCUGGUCUGAGAGGACGAUCAGCCACACUGGGACUGAGACACGGCCCAGACUCCUACGGGAGGCAGCAGUGGGGAAUAUUGGACAAUGGGCGCAAGCCUGAUCCAGCCAUGCCGCGUGAGUGACGGAGGCCUUAGGGUUGUAAAGCUCUUUUGGCGGGGACGAUAAUGACGGUACCCGCAGAAUAAGCCCCGGCUAACUUCGUGCCAGCCGCCGCAGUAACAC
rnacentral:rRNA from 1 species